rnacentral:rRNA from 1 species
GACGAACGCUGGCGGCGUGCUUAACACAUGCAAGUCGAACGGAAAGGCCCUGCUUUUGUGGGGUGCUCGAGUGGCGAACGGGUGAGUAACACGUGAGUAACCUGCCCUUGACUUUGGGAUAACUUCAGGAAACUGGGGCUAACACCGGAUAGGAGCUCCUGCUGCAUGGUGGGGGUUGGAAAGUUUCGGCGGUUGGGGAUGGACUCGCGGCUUAUCAGCUUGUUGGUGGGGUAGUGGCUUACCAAGGCUUUGACGGGUAGCCGGCCUGAGAGGGUGACCGGCCACAUUGGGACUGAGAUACGGCCCAGACUCCUACGGGAGGCAGCAGUGGGGAAUAUUGCACAAUGGGCGGAAGCCUGAUGCAGCAACGCCGCGUGCGGGAUGACGGCCUUCGGGCUGUAAACCGCUUUCGCCUGUGACGAAGCGUGAGUGACGGUAAUGGGUAAAGAAGCACCGGCUAACUACGUG